UACGAAGGGGGCUAGCGUUACUCGGAUUGACUGGGCGUAAAGGGCGCGUAGGCGGUUCGUACAGUCAGACGUGAAAUUCCUGGGCUCAACCUGGGGGCUGCGUUUGAUACGUGCGGACUUGAGUUCGGAAGAGGGUCGUGGAAUUCCCAGUGUAGAGGUGAAAUUCGUAGAUAUUGGGGAGAACACCGGUGGCGAAGGCGGCGACCUGGUCCGAUACUGACGCUGAGGCGCGAAAGCGUGGGGAGCAAACAGG
rnacentral:rRNA from 1 species